ACAAGUUGAGGACCAAGAUAAAGUCCAAAAUGGUCUGAAUAAUUCAAAAUUCCUAUUGCUUCAUGGGAUUCACAUAAUUUUCUUGAAAUUGGAGUCUCUGAUAAAUAUUACCUUGUGACGGCCCCCUCGGGAUUUUUGUGCAAUGUUUAAUGAUCUUAGAGAGGGCCAGAGACAUGACAUGUGUUGCCAAUUCAGAACAUAAAAAUGGGAAGAUUGCAUCUUGCAGUUAGAGUUAUUGAAGCUGAUGAAAAGGGUGCAGGGAAGAUGAUGUUAACUUGAACAUUACAGCGUCUCGGUGAGCCUAUUUUCGUACCAAUUCUAAGCCAUUAGCUCGUCAACUUGAUGGUUGAGCACAAUGAUGUGUUAGAAGACAUCAAACUAACCAAUGAUGAGAUUGUUAAUUGGCAAGCUAUGCAACAUAGGAGCAUAUAGUACUUAGAAAGUAAGAAGAAAUCUUUAAGAACUGAUAAAUCUUGUAGCUUGGUUUUUGUGUGACUAUUGUCAAACGGUCUCCCUUCACUUCAACAUUCAUAAAGCUUGUGGAGCCAAGGGCCAUGGAUGUUUGAAGUAGUGGGGGUUCUUUGUAUGGAUGUUUAUAAGAAACUAUAAAGACAACUUGAUCUAAUAAUUUGAAGUUUCUUGCAUGUGAACAUGCUCCAGGUGGUGCAUGGUGGAAGCGAAAUCUCAGCCGCGGCUAUGACAAAUGUGGGCAUUUAACUUGGGAGUUGAUUUUAUUUUCAACUGGCAGAUAUGGACAAUUAACAUGGGAGUGGACAAAAGGGAUACGUAGCUACUUGCAUCCAAUUUUAUUUGCAAUUCUCUAUUUCCGUUUUACAUCUCGAUACUCCAUCCUUCAUGGUAAGUAGAGGUGGCAAAAUGGGUGGAUUGGGAGGGUUGGGAUGUGUCAAAAGCAAAAUCUUUAGUAUCGGAUGGGUUAGGUUGAUCCUCUCAGUUAAGUGUAACUACCUUCGAAAUCAAGCUCCACCAUCGGAUUCGGCUGAGAUUUAUUCUCAGCCAUUUAAACUCCCUAAAAUAACCGCUGAAGUGGCAGUUCAAGGCGGUUAUUUGCAGUUUUCUGACCUGGUGGUUUGCUCCAUAUUUUGUGCCCAUGAUCUCCACUUCUCUGGUGGUUAUAUCCGGCUUUUUAGAGCCCAAGAUCUCCAUACCAACUCCUACAAACUUGGUCAACAAAACAUGGAGCAAAGUAAAGGUUUCAAUAAUUUCAUCCACCAAGGGUGUUCGAGCAAUGAAAACCAAAUUCCAUCAGCAACUUUAUCACACGCUUUAACAAAGAUAUAGGUAGAGCAACUUAAUUAGUUGAGCGAAGGACAUGCAGCUGCAUUUUCUCUCAAUGAAUUUUAUGGUGCUUUUCUCUCAGCGGAAUUUUAGUUACUGAAAUUGACUCCAUCCUUACCUUUUCGGUUUUAGGCAUAUUAUAUUUGUCAAUGUGAAUUCAUUUGAGGAGUUAAUAAUA
rnacentral:lncRNA from 1 species